AUAUUUUUAAGGAAAGUAUUUUAAUAUUGGGGGAGAGAGAAUAGGGAGGCUUAUCCGGUUGUCACCUCUACUUGUAAUCGUUACCACCAAAGCAUUCAAGCUCAGUCUCACUUCAACCUUCCUUUCUCCCUUCCUCUCUUCCUUCUCAUAAUCUUUAAAACUUCAGACCAUUUUCUUCUAUAAACAAACCCCAUGGCAAACUCUCUAUGUUUCUCACCUGCAAUUUCCUCCAAAUCUUCACACAAACCAGGGGUGGUUGUUGUUGGGAGUUCUGCUGCUGGAAAGGUUUUUAAAUUCAAUAAUGUAUUUCAACACCAUGGGAAUUCCAAAUUUCAGUCUUUGGAGGUUAAGGCUACAGAUAGUAAUCAAAGUACCAAACCAAAUAGCAUAGUCUGUUCUAAUUGUGAUGGAAAUGGUGCCAUUCAGUGUUCACAAUGCAAAGGUGAUGGAGUUAACUCUGUAGACCACUUCAAUGGACAGUUUAAAGCUGGUGGAUUAUGUUGGCUUUGCAGAGGCAGAAGGGAGAUUUUAUGUGGGGAUUGCAAUGGAGCAGGCUUUAUUGGAGGAUUCAUGAGCACAUUUGAUGAGUAGUUAGUUCUAUGGAACUGGAAGUUGAAUAUGUUGCAGUGGUCAGGAGGAGUGAGCAUGUGGGUCAAUUUGUGUUCAGCCUUGAGUGGUGUGUCAUGGAUGAAUCUGACAUUUUCUUAGCUUGAAAUGUGAUACUUUUCUUCAUGGAGCUAGAUUCUUGCGGAAUUUUUAUAAAGAGCAAACAUGGUUUGUCUA